UAAUGUUUGAUGUUCUAACGUGGACCCGUAAUCCGGGUUGCGGACAGUGUCUGGUGGGUAGUUUGACUGGGGCGGUCUCCUCCUAAAGAGUAACGGAGGAGCACGAAGGUUGGCUAAUCCUGGUCGGACAUCAGGAGGUUAGUGCAAUGGCAUAAGCCAGCUUGACUGCGAGCGUGACGGCGCGAGCAGGUGCGAAAGCAGGUCAUAGUGAUCCGGUGGUUCUGAAUGGAAGGGCCAUCGCUCAACGGAUAAAAGGUACUCCGGGGAUAACAGGCUGAUACCGCCCAAGAGUUCAUAUCGACGGCGGUGUUUGGCACCUCGAUGUCGGCUCAUCACAUCCUGGGGCUGAAGUAGGUCCCAAGGGUAUGGCUGUUCGCCAUUUAAAGUGGUACGCGAGCUGGGUUUAGAACGUCGUGAGACAGUUCGGUCCCUAUCUGCCGUGGGCGCUGGAGAACUGAGGGGGGCUGCUCCUAGUACGAGAGGACCGGAGUGGACGCAUCACUGGUGUUCGGGUUGUCAUGCCAAUGGCACUGCCCGGUAGCUAAAUGCGGAAGAGAUAAGUGCUGAAAGCAUCUAAGCACGAAACUUGCCCCGAGAUGAGUUCUCCCUGAGACUUAG
rnacentral:rRNA from 1 species